rnacentral:rRNA from 1 species
GACGAACGCUGGCGGCGUGCUUAACACAUGCAAGUCGAACGGAGAGGCCCUGCUUUUGUGGGGUGCUCGAGUGGCGAACGGGUGAGUAACACGUGAGUAACCUGCCCUUGACUUUGGGAUAACUUCAGGAAACUGGGGCUAAUACCGGAUAGGAGCUCCUGCUGCAUGGUGGGGGUUGGAAAGUUUCGGCGGUUGGGGAUGGACUCGCGGCUUAUCAGCUUGUUGGUGGGGUAGUGGCUUACCAAGGCUUUGACGGGUAGCCGGCCUGAGAGGGUGACCGGCCACAUUGGGACUGAGAUACGGCCCAGACUCCUACGGGAGGCAGCAGUGGGGAAUAUUGCACAAUGGGCGGAAGCCUGAUGCAGCAACGCCGCGUGCGGGAUGACGGCCUUCGGGUUGUAAAACGCUUUCGCCUGUGACGAAGCGUGAGUGACGGUAAUGAGUAAAGAAGCACCGGCUAACUACGUG